rnacentral:rRNA from 1 species
UAGCGGAGGAAAAGAAACCAACAGGGAUUACCUCAGUAACGGCGAGUGAAGCGGUAAAAGCUCAAAUUUGAAAUCUGGCUCUUUUAGAGUCCGAAUUGUAAUUUGUAGAAGAUGCUUCGGGUGUGGUUCCGGUCUAAGUUCCUUGGAACAGGACGUCAUAGAGGGUGAGAAUCCCGUAUGUGACUGGAUACCUAUGCUCAUGUGAAGCUCUUUCGACGAGUCGAGUUGUUUGGGAAUGCAGCUCAAAAUGGGAGGUAUAUUUCUUCUAAAGCUAAAUAUUGGCCAGAGACCGAUAGCGCACAAGUAGAGUGAUCGAAAGAUGAAAAGCACUUUGGAAAGAGAGUUAAACAGUACGUGAAAUUGUUGAAAGGGAAGCGCUUGCAAUCAGACUUGCACUUGGUGUUCAUCAGGGUCUCGUACCCUGUGUACUUCAUCAAGUUCAGGCCAGCAUCAGUUUGAGUGGUUAGAUAAAGGCUUAGAGAAUGUGGCCCUCUUCGGGGGGUGUUAUAGCUCUAGGUGCAAUGUAGCCUACUUGGACUGAGGACCGCGCUUCGGCUAGGAUGCUGGCGUAAUGGUUGUAAGCGACCCGUCUU